GAAGAAGUUUUUUAUGAUGAGGGUGGUGAGACACUGGAGAAGGUUGCCGGGAGAAGUUGUGGAAGCCCAUCAUUGGAAGUGUUCAAGAUAAAACUUCGUCCUGCAGCUUGAGAAUACAGAAGGUUUUGGUUUUUAUGUAGGCAAUAACUUGCCAUGGUCAGCACAAUAGGUAAACAGAGGCCACAAAUACAAAAAAAACAAAGCUCCACAGGAAGAAAAUGAUGCUUCUCAAAGAUUUGGAUGCUGGAAUAAACUUCAGCAAAGACAAGUUAGACAGCAGAUAGCUGGCAAGAAGAUAAAGGAGAUAUGUUCAGUUAAUAAAUCACAUCUCUGAACUCCUAA